GGACAGAACCACACAGGUAGAACCGCAGAUGAAGAGGAGAACCGCACAGGCCCAAGUCCUGGGCCAGGGGCAGUCUUCUACUCUGCAGCAAACUCAUCAGCAGUGUGUGUGCAGACAGGCGACAGUGACUAUGACGACGUCGGAUCAGAUGAAAUGUAGAAG